rnacentral:rRNA from 1 species
GAUGAACGUUGGCGGCGUGCCUAACACAUGCAAGUCGAACGAAAGUAGCAAUACUUUAGUGGCGCACGGGUGAGUAACACGUAGCUUACCUCCCUCUCAGCGCGGGAUAACGACUCGAAAGAGUUGCUAAUACCGCAUAAGCUCACGGGUUCUAGAGACUUGUGAGAAAAGGUGCAAAUCACUGAGAGACGGGGCUGCGGCCCAUCAGCUAGUUGGCGCGGUAAAGGCGCACCAGGGCGACGACGGGUAGGGGACCUGAGAGGGU